ncrna:unclassified sequences Bacteroidales-1 6S-Bacteroidales RNA suggested
AGCCGCAUUAGUUGGAUUGGGAAACUCAUCAAACUAAUCUGAAAACCGAGACAUAGCUUCAUCUUCCAAUGGCGGGCCACGCCUUCGGGUAGCAUUUAUGCCGGUGGAUUACAAAGGAGGAGAGCACUCAAAACCUGUCAUUCGGAGUUUCAUCGCAUCACUGGUGCGGCUUCAUUA